rnacentral:rRNA from 1 species
UACGUAGGGGGCAAGCGUUGUUCGGAGUUACUGGGCGUAAAGGGUGCGUAGGUGGCCCAUUAAGUCAAGUGUGAAAUUCCACGGCUCAACUGCGGGAGAGCGUUUGAAACUGGAUGUCUUGAGGUCAGGUAAGGCGGAUGGAAUUGCCAGUGUAGAGGUGAAAUCCGUAGAUAUUGGCAUGAACGCCAGUGGUGAAGGCGGUCUUCUGGACUGAUACUGACGCUGAGGUACGAAAGCCUGUGGAGCGAACAGG